UCCUCAGUAGUAUAGUGGUUAGUAUCUCUGACUGUCACUCAGGAGACCGGGGUUCGAUUCCCCGCCGGGGAG
rnacentral:tRNA from 1 species